GAUGAACGCUAGCGGCAGGCUUAAUACAUGCAAGUCGAGGGGCAGCAUGAGUAGCAAUACUUGAUGGCGACCGGCAAACGGGUGCGGAACACGUACACAACCUUCCUUCGAGCGGGGAAUAGCCCAGGGAAACUUGGAUUAAUACCCCAUAGUAUAUUGAAAGGGCAUCUUUUUAAUAUUAAAGAUUUAUCACUUGAAGAUGGGUGUGCGGCUGAUUAGGUAGUUGGCAGGGUAACGGCCUACCAAGCCUACGAUCAGUAGCUGAUGUGAGAGCAUGAUCAGCCACACGGGCACUGAGACACGGGCCCGACUCCUACGGGAGGCAGCAGUAAGGAAUAUUGGUCAAUGGACGAAAGUCUGAACCAGCCAUGCCGCGUGGAGGAUGAAGGUCCUCUGGAUUGUAAACUUCUUUUAUAAGGGACGAAAAAAGGGUAUUCUUACUCACUUGACGGUACCUUAUGAAUAAGCACCGGCUAACUCCGUGCCAGCCGCCGCAGUAAUAC
rnacentral:rRNA from 1 species